UUUAUCUGUUUCUAGCUGUUUUCGCAAAGUCAGCCAACCACUUGCUUCCAAAUGACCCUUAUCCAGAAGUAUCCGUGAGUGCCUCAUCAACAGAAACUAAAGUGGAGACCUACCUCUCAGAGGAAAAACUCACACAUAAGAAAAGCCGACCCACGUCAGUACUGGGAAGAACAUCCUAAUCUGUUUCCCUCUAUGGCUGCUGUUGCGAUCCCAGUGUGCCCCCUGUAGCUCUGUGGACAGUUUUGGAUUUGUUUACAUCUCACCCAACCGCUCACGGCAGAUGGCUGCACCUCUCUAAGCCUGGUUCUGCCGGAGGUUUCUUCCUGUUAAAAGGGAGUUUUUCUGAACACACUCUACCACCAACAAGGACAGCUCACCAGUGGGAACUGAUAGAUAAGACUGCUGAUGUGCUCUCAUCCAUUGAAGAGCUGACCAGAAACGUGAACAGAAAGACUGCACCUGAUGGGAUCCCUGCCAUAACAGAUGUGUUCUGUCCAGUGAAGGCAGUGGAGAAGCCCUACACUGAUCUUGAAACUGUGCCACACUACUAGAAACCGGCUACAAGGAUGGGCAGCUGUUUUCGCAAAGUCAGCCAACCUCUUGCUUCCAAAUGACCCUUAUCCAGAAGUAUCCGUGAGUGCCUCAUCAACAGAAACUAAAGUGGAGACCUACCUCUCAGAGAAAAACGCACACAUAAGAAAAGCCGACCCACUUCAGUACUGGGAAGAACAUCCUAAUCUGUUUCCCUCUAUGGCUGCUGUUGCGAUCCCAGUGUGCCCCCUGUAGCUCUGUGGACAGUUUUGGAUUUGUUUACAUCUCACCCCAACCGUUCGCGGCAGAUGGCCGCCCCUCCCUGAGCCUGGUUCUGCCGGAGGUUUCUUCCUGUCAAAAGGGAGUUUUUCCUUCCCACUGUCGCCAAAGUGCUUGCUCAUAGGGGGUCAUAUGAUUGUUGGGUUUAUCUAUAUACAUUAAUGCUUGUAUGCUUUUCAUUUAUACUUUUGCCUUACUCUUCAGUUUAUAAUAUAAAGUUACUUGAAUGUUUUCCUUUUCCUUUUUUAUUUUAUAUUGCUUUGCUAUUUACCACAAUCUAAAUAUCAUGUUUAAAUGUCAUACAUUAUUGUAAAUGGUAUUUGUACAAAAUAUUGUUUGAAUAACAUGAUACAUUUUAGUCCCACAAGGGGAAAUUUCAUAAUUUGCAUGUGGAAUUUCCCCUUUCACAUUAAAAUACCUUUGAAAUACAAAUUGAAUACCGCUUAAUGGACAUUUAUUUCUACCACUUUAAACGACUCAAAACUGUAAAAUCUAAAUUGUAACUUCUCUUGAACACCUGACACUAAAGCAUAAUUUAUUUUAUUUAUUUUAUAUCUAUUAACUUCUUUUGUAAUCAUGUAACUGGAGCAUCCUUCUCUCAUCUCUGUAUGCUGCAUAUAACAGAGAUCACAAUACAGCUUACUUUGCUUUAAAUUGAAAAUCAGCUGUAUUCCAUUUCCCUCCUCCUUGUGGUAUAAAUAGCAAACUAUGCUCAUGUUGCAUAUUGCUCCCUCUAGUGUUAUAAAUGGCAACCGGCGCUAAUUGAACCACAUUAAAGGCAAACUACACUCAUUGGCAGUAGCAUAGGCACACUUAAAAUUUCUUCUGAAAUUUUCCCUUUCUAGUUAUUUUAUUAGUAUUUUCCUUACAUGUGUCAAAUAUAUAUUUUCUCAUCUAAAUGUGAACUGAGCUGUGAGCCAAGGGACGGUAGUGCGCCUUAACAUUGGUUGCCAACCAAGAAGAAGAAGAAGUAGCUGCGAGCCGGGGGGGGGGGGGGGGGGGGGGGGGGGGCGUGAGUGAGUGAGUGAUUCGUUCGCUCUAUGAUUCAGCACAGGAGGGAGGGGGUGAGUGAGUCCUGAGUGAUUUGCUUACGCUACGAUUCAGCACAGGAGGGAGGGGGUUAGUGAGUCCUGAGUGAUUUGCUUCCCCUACGAUUCAGCGCAGGAAGGGAGGGGGUGAGUAGCUCAAAUGUGCUGUUAGCAUGUUAGCAGAGCGAUGCUACUGUGAACCGAGGAGCUAUUGUCUUGAUGUGAGCUUCUACUCAGGGUUUUUUCUUCCAGUUCAGAGCAGAAAUGUUUUUGUUAAGAUACUGGAUGUUGUGUUUUUCUUCACAAUUUGAAUUAUAAGCUAGAUAUAUUUCUACUAAUGAAAUUAGUUUGCUAACAGCAACAGGGAUGAGUCAGUGAGUCAGUUGCGCUUGUGAAUCAUGAUUCACGAGUCAGUAAAGUGAUUCUCGAGUAUUGAACGAUUCGUUCAUGAUUCGCGCAUCACUACUGGCCACCACCUUUUGUCUGGCAACUCACAGGGAUCAUGGCAGGUAAGGCAGGUUUUCCUAUAGUCCGACAGAGGACCCAUGUGUUUGAAGUCAUCCCCGAACUGCUGCUAUGUGAGCGCUUGUUCUGCGCUCAUAGACGGGACUGACAGUGCGCAGCAAUGCGUCUAAUGAUGUUUAAAAGAUCCCAUAGCGCAAGUGCGUCAUUUCAGAUGAACUGCAAAAGAAAUUUCCCUCGUACCGGCCCAGUACUGGUAAUUUUUCUUAUGCAGAUGAGGC
ensembl:lncRNA